GUAACAUGCAGAACUAGUUCAUCAUCGUUCCAUUGGAUAAUAAUGGACAUGUGGUAACAUGCAGAACUAGUUCAUCAUCGUUCCAUUGGAUAAUAAUGGACAUGUGGUAACAUGCAGAACUAGUUCAUCAUCGUUCCAUUGGAUAAUAAUGGACAUGUGGUAACAUGCAGAACUAGUUCAUCAUCGUUCUAUUGGACAACAAAGGACAUGUUGUAAAAAUAUAAGAUAUUUAUCUAAAGAGACAUCGGCACAUGUAGCAUGAGUCACAAAUGGCACCAUAUUCCGUUAAUAGUGCACUACUUUCUACCAGGCCCCUAGUGCACUACUUUAACCAGGCCCCUAGUGCACUACUUUCUACCAGGCCCCUAGUGCACUACUUUCUACCAGGACCCUAGUGCACUACUUUCUACCAGGACCCUAGUGCACUACUAAAUAUAAGAUAUUUAUAAGAUAUUUAUCUAAAGAGACAUCGUGCACUACAUGAGUCACAAAUGGAUCCCUAGUGCACUACUUUCUACCAGGACCCUAGUGCACUACUUUAACCAGGACCCUAGUGCACUACUUUCUACCAG
ensembl:lncRNA